CACGGUGGAAGGGCCUGUGUGCUUAGUAAAGAAAUCGAGAAGUUUUGACAGUUGAAAUAAGGGGUUUCAAUCAGAAGGAUUUACAGAGGGAUUACAAACAGGCAGAACACAAGGGUACAAUGAAGGCUAUAUGUUAGGCAAGGAGAAGGGUGCAGAUAUGGCAACUGAGAUUGGGUUCUAUGAUGGAUACACUGGGGUCAUGAAGUCACUGAUAGAGGAAUCAACAAACGAGAAAACAAGGUUAGAACCUGAC